GAUGAACGCUGGCGGCGUGCCUAAUACAUGCAAGUCGAGCGAACAGACGAGGAGCUUGCUCCUCUGACGUUAGCGGCGGACGGGUGAGUAACACGUGGAUAACCUACCUAUAAGACUGGGAUAACUUCGGGAAACCGGAGCUAAUACCGGAUAACAUGUUGAACCGCAUGGUUCAACAGUGAAAGACGGUUUUGCUGUCACUUAUAGAUGGAUCCGCGUCGCAUUAGCUAGUUGGUAAGGUAACGGCUUACCAAGGCAACGAUGCGUAGCCGACCUGAGAGGGUGAUCGGCCACACUGGAACUGAGACACGGUCCAGACUCCUACGGGAGGCAGCAGUAGGGAAUCUUGCGCAAUGGGCGAAAGCCUGACGGAGCAACGCCGCGUGAGUGAAGAAGGUCUUCGGAUCGUAAAACUCUGUUAUUAGGGAAGAACAAAUGUGUAAGUAACUAUGCACGUCUUGACGGUACCUAAUCAGAAAGCCACGGCUAACUACGUG
rnacentral:rRNA from 1 species